GGAAGAUAACAAUCUCACAUAGUGAAGGAAAAGUGAAACAUCAGGAGACAUGUCUUUUAUAGUUUACAUUAGGAAAAAACCUAGAAAGACCAUAGACAAUUCAAAUUACACGAGUUCUAUCAAACAUCACUUCCAUGAAAACAGUUCUAUAAUCUGCAACACAUUGUGUAGUUCCUUCAUCAAACCUAGUCGACGCAGCAAUCAGUUAUUACCAUGAACCCUCAGCACCAACGGUUGGAUUCUGGAAAGCAGAGAAGUUCCAGAAAGUCUUCAAUGAGUAUGGCUGAGAAAUUGUUACUCCCUCUUCUGUGAUUUUUGCAAUCUGAAGCUUGUUGACUGCAGAUCUGUCUCGAUACAAAAGCACACGCAUACAUUUCUCCAAUAACUUAACGCCCUCUUCAUAACUCAAAUUUUCAUGCCAUUCGUCACGAAGAAUGGGCCUCGCAAGAUGAUUCCCAAAUCCAGUAGCCACAUGGUUGUCCUCGUAAUGCACACCAAUCAUACUAACUGUU
rnacentral:misc_RNA from 1 species